GUCGAACGGUAACAGGAAGCAGCUUGCUGCUUCGCUGACGAGUGGCGGACGGGUGAGUAAUGUCUGGGAAACUGCCUGAUGGAGGGGGAUAACUACUGGAAACGGUAGCUAAUACCGCAUAACGUCGCAAGACCAAAGAGGGGGACCUUCGGGCCUCUUGCCAUCGGAUGUGCCCAGAUGGGAUUAGCUAGUAGGUGGGGUAACGGCUCACCUAGGCGACGAUCCCUAGCUGGUCUGAGAGGAUGACCAGCCACACUGGAACUGAGACACGGUCCAGACUCCUACGGGAGGCAGCAGUGGGGAAUAUUGCACAAUGGGCGCAAGCCUGAUGCAGCCAUGCCGCGUGUAUGAAGAAGGCCUUCGGGUUGUAAAGUACUUUCAGCGGGGAGGAAGGUGUUGAGGUUAAUAACCUUGUCAAUUGACGUUACCCGCAGAAGAAGCACCGGCUAACUCCGUGCCAGCACCCGCGGUAAUACGGAGGGUGCAAGCGUUAAU
rnacentral:rRNA from 1 species